CGCAGGCGCAGGGCAACUGGUAAGCCGCGUGGCUCAUAACCACGAAACACCGGGUUCGACUCCCGGGCCUGCAACCA
rnacentral:tRNA from 1 species